CCUACGGGAGGCAGCAGUAGGGAAUAUUGCUCAAUGGGGGAAACCCUGAAGCAGCAACGCCGCGUGGAGGAUGAAGGUUUUAGGAUUGUAAACCCCUUUUGUUAGAGAAGAAAAUGACGGUAUCUCACGAAUAAGCACCGGCUAACACCGUGCCAGCAGCCGCGGUAAUACGGAGGGUGCAAGCGUUAAUCGGAAUCACUGGGCGUAAAGAGUGCGCAGGGGGGCUGGUAAGUCAGAUGUGAAAUCCUGUAGCUUAACUACAGAACUGCAUUUGAAACUAUGAGUCUAGAGUGUUGGAGAGGUGGGUGGAAUUCCUGGUGUAGGGGUAAAAUGCGUAGAUAUCAAGAGGAAUACUCAUUGCGAAGGCGGCCUACUGGAACAUAACUGACGCUGAUGCACGAAAGCGUGGGGAGCAAACAGGAUUAGAUACCCCAGUAGUC
rnacentral:rRNA from 1 species